rnacentral:rRNA from 1 species
UGAGCGGAGAUAUAUGGAGCUUGCUUUAUAUAACUUAGCAGCGAACGGGUGAGUAACACGUAGAUAAUCUAUCCUAUACUGGGGGAUAGCCCGAUGAAAGUUGGAUUAAUACCGCAUAUAGCUAUAUAGUUGCAUGAUUAUGUAGUGAAAGAUUUAUUGGUAUAGGAGGAGUCUGCGGCACAUUAGCUAGUAAGUGAGGUAAAGGCUUACCUAGGCGACGAUGUGUAGCCGGUCUGAGAGGAUGAACGGCCACAAUGGAACUGAGACACGGUCCAUACUCCUACGGGAGGCAGCAGUGGGGAAUAUUGCACAAUGGGGGAAACCCUGAUGCAGCAACGCCGCGUGAGUGAAGAAGGUUUUCGGAUUGUAAAGCUCUGUUAGCAGGGAAGAGGAAGGACGGUACCUGCAGAAGAAGCCACGGCUAACUACGUGCCAGCAGCCGCGGUAAUACGUAGGUGGCAAGCGUUGUUCGGAAUAACUGGGCGUAAAGGAUGCGUAGGCGGUUAAACAAGUUAUAUGUUAAAUAUAUAGGCUUAACCUGUAGAAAGCAUAUAAAACUGUUUAACUAGAGUGCAGGAGAGGUAAGUGGAAUUCCUAGUGUAGCGGUGAAAUGCGUAGAGAUUAGGAAGAACACCAGUGGCGAAGGCGACUUACUGGACUGUAACUGACGCUGAGGCAUGAGAGCAUGGGGAGCAAACAGGAUUAGAUACCCUGGUAGUCCAUGCUGUAAACGAUGGGUACUAGGUGUGGGUUGUGAAUAACAAUUCGUGCCGUCGCAAACGCA